GAUUCUAGAAUUAAAAUUUUUUAAUUCUGAUGAGUCCAUAAGUCAAGAUUGAUGUCUAGUAAAGUAUCAUAACUAUCUAAAAGAUUUAAAAUUUGAUAAAAAUAUCAAAAUAAUCAUUCCAUGGUGAGUUACCGUGCAAUUCAAUCCUUCGAUCACACAACAUCCCGGAAAGGCUAUGGGUAUGAAAAUAUGUUAAACCCAAAUACCUAU
rnacentral:lncRNA from 1 species